UACGAAGGGGGCUAGCGUUGUUCGGAAUUACUGGGCGUAAAGCGCACGUAGGCGGACAUUUAAGUUGGAGGUGAAAGCCUUGGGCUCAACCCAAGAAUUGCCUUUGAUACCGGAUGUCUCGAGACCGGGAGAGGUGAGUGGAAUUCCGAGUGUAGAGGUGAAAUUCGUAGAUAUUCGGAAGAACACCAGUGGCGAAGGCGGCUCACUGGCCCGGUUCUGACGCUGAGGUGCGAAAGCGUGGGGAGCAAACAGG
rnacentral:rRNA from 1 species